AUGAUGGUGCAUCUCAUUCCAUGGAGAAACUGGGAUAGUGCCGUCUCAUAAGAUUCAAAACCUUAUCUAAAACUACCAUGAUUAUAUAAAAAAGGUAUGGUCCCAGCAAUCUGGGGUCUUAGGAGGGGCAAACUGAGGACAAACCUAACCUUUGGCAUUCUUUUUGCACCAACGUGGCUGCCCCAGGACUUGAACUAGCUCAAUUGCUUAUAGCCCAAACCUUUUACCAUUCUACCAAGCAAUGACUCCUAAAAAAAUUGACUGAUAUGAUCAUAAAGCUACCAUUUAUUAUAUCAGUUACAUUUUUUAUUUUUAUUUUUUAUAUCAAUAAAUUGUCUAGUUAGUAAAAGAAUUUCUGUUAGAGAUUGUAAGAUGUUACACCCACAAGUCAAGGAAUCGAUCAAGCUCAAUCAAGUAGAGGCUAUCAGGCUGCAAAGGAGGAAAUCAAUUCAGUCAAUCAAGGGCAGAAGGAAAGUGGACUUAACCAAAUAAGAAAGAAUAAUAUCAUGGGAUCGCAAUCACCUAUAUUAAGGGAUCACAAUCACCUAAAAGAAGGAAAGUGGACUCAACCAAAUAAGGAAGAACAAUAUCAUGGGAUCGCAAUCACCUAAAAUUCCGACGACUGGAGAUUAUAAAUAGAACUAGAAUGUGAAGGACAGAGAACCAAGACUUUAUCAAAUAGCUUUGUUCGGCCUUUAGGCUUGGUCCGAAGAUUUGUCUCCUGGUGUUCUUGUCAUUCUAUUUUUUGAAACCAUAGUUGUACUGUUUCUUAUUGAUUCUAUAAAAGAUUCCGUUCGUCCUCCAACAAAUUAGUUCGACACUGUCGGCCUUCAUUUUUUUCCUGUUCAUGCCACGAACCCAAAUGGAGUCCAAGGUUGAAUCGUUGGAGAGAAUGGUCGCAGCACUCAAGGCGAAAUUGGAGAAUCAACACACUGAAAUCUGCAAGACAAUGGACAAAAAAUUCGAUGAGCAUUUUGCAUGCUUAGACGCCACAUGGCCAGCCUUGCUGCCUCUGUUAAAAGCAAGGCAAUUGUUGCAGAUGAACCAGACCCAGUAUCUCCCCUCUCGGUCCAUACUCCCACUGCACCACCGAAGGUAACUGUCUCUAAUUCCUCUGGUUUCUUUUCUGAUGCGACUUCUCUGCCUCAAAAAAUUGAAAUUCCCACCUUCGACGGAUCGGACCCAAUCGGCUAGAUCGCAAGGGCAGAAAUUUUUUUUGAGGUGAAUCAGACAAAAGAAAAUCAGAAAGUCACCCUCGCCAUGAUAAGCAUGGAGGGCCACGCCCUUCACUGGUUUCGCUGGCUCUGGCAAAGAAAACCAUAGUUGACAUGGAGAAUGUUAAUCGUCGAGCUUAUCUAGCGAUACGACAGAAGACACAUGGAUAAUCCCUUCGAGUGACUGGCGGCACUUCGACAAACCUCCACAGUCGAGAUGUACAUCUUUGCAUUCAUUGAAUUGGUAACCCAAGUCCUUGAUUUAAAUAAGCAAUAUUGUCUGGAUUUCUUUUUGAAUGGAUUGACAUAGGCUAUUCGAGUGAGGCUCCGCACCCACAAUCCAAGAGAUCUCGAUUAGGCUAUGGAGCUGGGCCGCUGUCUCAAGACGGAAUUGCGAUUUGCCGAUGGAAGCUCUGACAGUCGCCAACCGCCAGCAAAGUCGGGUGUUAGCUUCGCGCUGGUCUUGCAUUGGUCGCCCACCUCAUCUGCGACCUCGAUUUGGUCAUCACUCUCAGCACCGCGCGCUACCCAGUCCAACAGUACCUCGAGGCCAUCAACUCGAGCCGCAGAUCGUGAGCUACCGGCGGCAGACUGAAGCGACCACAAAUCUCAGCUUGCUCCGCCUCCUCGGCACUGAGGCACUAGGCGACUCAGCAACUAAGAAUACAUCGAGCUUUGCCACAAGAGUCUCUGCUUUCAUUGUCAUUAGCCCUACUCGCCCCUGCAUGAGUGCCCAAACCGAGAGCUCCGGACUUUAAUUGCAGCAGCAAAUAGAGACAGCAUUAGCUUGGCUGAUUUUAAGGCACUGGAAGCCAAGGAUGGGGAACCGACGGCCACGGCUCCACAAGAGAUCCAGCUUGGACGAAUCGAUUUGGAUGGACAGAGAUGAUUUCCAUUUCCAGUUCCCAGACUUCAGCCUUGAGGACAAGGCGAAUUUUCAUCCAGCGGGUAUAAUUGUUACACCCACAAGUCAGGGAAUCAAUCAAGUUCAAUCAAAUAGAGGCCAUUAGGCUGCAAAUGAGGAAAUCAAUUCAGUCAAUCAAGGGCAGCAGAUAUUCAUGGUGUAUACCCGCAGAAGGAAAGUGGACUCAACCAAAUAAGGAAGAACAAUAUCAUGGGAUCGCAAUCACCUAUAUUAAGAGACCACAAUCACCUAAAAGAAGAAAAGUGGACUCAACCAAAUAAGGAAGAGCAAUAUCAUGGGAUCGCAAUCAUCUAUAUUAAGGGAUCACAAUCACCUAAAAUUCCGAUGACUGGAAACUAUAAAUAGAACCAGAAUGUGAAGGAUAGAGAACCC
rnacentral:lncRNA from 1 species